CAUCUGGAACUUGGCAUACUCAUUGUUUUCCUGUACCAUGUGUUUGUAUGUGAUGGAGGACAAUAAAAAGUCCAGUGCUAUGUCUUUGGUGCCAGAAAGCUAAUUUUCUUCUGGUUCUAUCCUCAGUCACUGGUAGAUUU
rnacentral:snoRNA from 1 species